rnacentral:lncRNA from 1 species
GCUUGGUGCUACCUCUUUUCUUUUGUUUGUUAUUUUCUUUGAAUAAGAGGAUUGAGAGUUUCUGAAUAUUGUGAAGUGAAUUAUGGAAUGAAAAUGUGAUUGAUAUUAUUUGAGAAGAAGAAAGAUUGAAUGCUGAAAUUUGAUUGUAGUUCAGCAUGGAGACUGAGUCUGUGUUUGUGUGAAACACCAUAAUGUGAAUGGCAGUUCUGUGUGAAGAAUUCCAGUGAUUGGAAUGAGGGUAAUUGUGUGUUGAAAUUUGUGAGGGCGUAGUAUUACA